GAGUUUGAUCUUGGCUCAGAUUGAACGCUGGCGGCAGGCCUAACACAUGCAAGUCGAGCGGAUGAAGGGAGCUUGCUCCUGGAUUCAGCGGUGGACGGGUGAGUAAUGCCCAGGAAUCUGCCUGGGUAGUGGGGGAUAACGUCCGGAAACGGGCGCUAAUACCGCAUACGUCCUGAGGGAGAAAGUGGGGGAUCUUCGGACCUCACGCUAUCAGAUGAGCCUAGGUCGGAUUAGCUAGUUGGGUGGGGUAAGGCCUACCAAGGCGACGAUCCGUAACUGGUCUGAGAGGAUGAUCAGUCACACUGGAACUGAGACACGGUCCAGACUCCUACGGGAGGCAGCAGUGGGGAAUAUAGGACAGUGGGCGAAAGCCUGAUCCAGCCAUGCGCGUGUGUGAAGAAGGUCUUCGGAUUGUAAAGCACUUUAAGUUGGGAGGAAGGGCAGUAAGUUAA
rnacentral:rRNA from 1 species